rnacentral:lncRNA from 1 species
AUUUGCAUCACUAAGUACUCUCUUAACUGUCAAAUCAACUCUACACCAAUGGCACCCAUAAAAAAGAAAUUCUUCAAACACAAACAGAACUGCCAUGCAGUGCAGUUCUUUGAGACCUAUAAUUGUAACCUCCUGUUACAAUGCUAUAAACUUGGAAAUUGGAAAAUGAAGAUAUAAACCACAGAUUAUCGAACAAUCAGAAGAAGAUAUGGA